rnacentral:lncRNA from 1 species
CCGUCACGAAACUGCUCUGUCAGCAUAGGUCCUGGAGUGCCAUGGAUAGAGCACCAAGCCAGCUUGGGACAGACAUGAACAAAAACUGUGUGUGUUAUAUAGAAGAAGAGGAGGAUGAAGAAGACGGUUUCCAACAAUGAUCACUAAUCCACAAUUUGGAAAUCCUUAUGAAGUCGUCCACCCUAAGAAAGCCUCUGUGCUGCCAUGAAGUGAUGAGUGCUGGAAAGCUGAUGUUACUACCUAAUGUGACUGGACAGCACCUCCUCAAGGCCUCCCACACUUGUCAAUCUCUUGGUAGAGCAAAAGAUCCCUCAGCAAAACUGACUGGUGACAUACCUGCAAUAUCAUUAUCCUCGAGGUUCUCUAAGAACACCACCCCCAUCAGCUGUAACAAAAAAAGGUCAACAGCCCACCAAAAUUGAAGUCAAUCAGUUGCACACCACAAAAAUGGACAGAAGUAUAAUUCACAAGCGGGUGAGACGGUUCAGUAGGUAAAGGUAUGUGCACCAAACCUGAAGACCUGAGUUUGAGCCAUGUAACUCAUAUAAUAGAAGGGUGACUCCUGCAAUUUAUGCUUCAUAGGCACACCUUUAUGCACACAGUGUUUGCAUGCAUCCACACUCAUACACACACACACACACACACACACACACACACACACACACACACACACACACAAAUAAAAAAGUUAAAAAACACAAAAAUGAAUAACAUCCAAUGGUAACAAAAUAGCUCAAUUAAGGUGUUAAGCAUGAAUCUUCAGUUUGUAGAGAUUGUGAAGUAACUUGAGAAGUUAAGUUAACCCAUAAUAUUAAUGGAUGCUGCAGUGGAUACCUUCCGACUAUAAAAGUCGCAAUUUUAGUAGAGUGGAGAAAAAAAUAGCCCCUAUAGGAACCCUAGAGGGAAAUGCAUCUAGAUGGUACUAAGGGCAGUUAACCAUCCCCAUAUAAUUUUAAUUGCAGCAUCACCUAUACCUGUACCUCUUUCUGUCUGUGCUUCAAAUCCUGGUUCCUAUUGCUUUAACUCAGUCUCAGCAAUUGUACAAGACAGAGAAAGAGCUAUGAGAACCCUACCUUCUAUGUAACGCAUUUUAAUGAAACACAACAUUUUUGUUCUUCCCUACAGGAAAGGAAUGUGGUAUAGCAGAAUUGGGGAGCAUGGCUGUCCUCUUUCCCCAGCAUGCAUGUAACUCUUUCUAACAAAUCUCAUACUCAUUCUUUCAUAAAUGCAGGAGCCACUUUAUGCCCAAGCUGUCAUAAAUUGUUCCCAUAGCGCUCAUACUUAAUAUAAAGAUGUAGAAUGUAUUACGAAGUGAUUUAAGUGCAUAAUGACAAAAGAAAACAAAUCCCAAAAUGAUGAAAGCCUUAACCAAGUUACAUAAUCACUAAAAAGAGAAAACAUAAACUCUGAUACAAAAAGAAAUAACUUCACAAAUUUGUGAAGACUUCUCAUACACGUGUCAUUAAUUAAUUAGAAAUGAAUCAAUAUUCAUAUGAAGAAGGUUCCUGGAUGAAUUCACAAAGAGAUUACCCUUUCCCUAAAAGUAAUUUCUUAUCUGAUAAAUCUACAAGGCUCAGGGAUCAUAGCAGAAGAGGGGGUGGGAAGAAUGUAAGAGUCAGAGGAAUAAGCACUCUGCUGUAUGAUUCUCUCCUAGAAACAUCGGAGAAGCUACCCUAUGAAGACUCAUUAACAUGACUGCCUAGACAUGACCUGAACAAGGACAACACCAACAGGUGUGCUAACAAGGAAGGCAGUAAGCUUAUGAAGCCUCCACCCCAGAUAAAGAACUACAGGUAACAAAGAAAUGCUGAGAGCAAGAGAAAUAACUUUGCCAGGGAAGAGCAUCCCCAGCUGGUUAUGCAGGACUAAGAGGUCAGCCCUGGAACUAUAUACAUACAAGUAACAUUAUAAAGACUGAACAAGUUGUAUGUAUGUAUUUAUAAAUAUGUGUAACAAGGAAAUAGACAACAUGAAUUUGAGAGACAGCAAGGCAGAGUACAUGAGCAGGGUUGGAGGGAGUUCUGAAAAUGGAGAAAGUGCUGUAAUUAUAAUCUACUUUCAAAAAUUAAAAAACAAAUAUUUGUACUUAUAUAUGAAAGUGUACAUUGUAUAAAAUUUAAAACAGAGAAUAAAUAAGUAAAAAAUAAAUGACAUUAUAGGAAUGUCAUUUCUUCUCAAAUGGUUGCACACUGGAUAUUGUUUCAUAAAUGUGUCAAACACACCAUUUAAAAACAAUACAACCCAUUGAUUCAAAAGCUGAACUUUAAAUCCCUGAACACAGUUGGGUCUGAGGCUUAACAUCCUGACUCAGCAUUUAUGGUUUUCAUUCACAGCACAUCAGCUAAGGUGAUGUUCCUUCUUAAUAUUUUUGUUUUUAGUUUUCUUCCACCUGCUCUUAUACAAUGUAAAUUAUUCAAAGUAAAAUUUAGAAUGCUUUGCCUGGUUCUUUACAAUAUUCACAAUAAUUUUUUUUUGUUCAUUGUUGAUAGCAUAGCACAGACAGAACAAACCUAAACAGAACUGACUUGUAAAACAUUAAUGUUGUUUUUCAAGGGACAUGUGUCUUUUUCCUUGAGUCUUUCUAUGGUACUAUCAUGUAGAGUUCUAUAUUUUUCUUUAUCAAGUUUAUGACUAUUUCUAAAGACUACUUCUAAGUUUAGAUUAUUUUUUAAUUUAUUUUUUGCAUUUCAAUCCCAGUCCCCCUCCCUCCUCUCCUCCAGCUCCCCUCACCCCCCCCACCUCCCAUCUGUUCCUCAGAGAGGGUAAGGCCUCCGCUAAGAAAUCUACUAAGUCUGUCCCAUCAUCUUGUUGAGGCAGGACCAAGGCAUCUCUCCACCCCCACAUCCCUGUGUCUAGGCUGGGCAAGGUAUCUCUCCAUAUAGAAUGGGCUCCACUGAGUCAGUUUGCACUAAUGUUACAUCUUAGACCCACUGCCAGUGGCCUCAAAUAUUGUCCCAGUCCCAUCACUGUCACCUAUAUUAAGGGAGUCUAGUUCUGACUUAUGCAGGUUCCCCAUUUGUCAGACCUGAGUCAGUGAUCUCUCACUAGCUCGGGUCAGCUGAUUCUGUGGGUUUCCCCACAUGGUCUUGACUCCUUUGUUCUUAUUACAGCUCCUCCCUCAGUUUGAUUGUACUCCAGGAGCUUGGCUCAUUGGACAUAAGUUUAGAUUCCUUUAGUGAUAUAAAGAAAUAAUUUCCCUCUAACUUUACCAUGUGGUAGAUAGCAUGGAGGAUCAGAAUGUUACUGAUGAUAUUAUUUUAUAAUAUAGCCCCAUCUAAUCUUUGUAAUCAUCUACCUUAAUGAAUAUUUUUUAAAAACUUUGUGUAUCAUGUCUUCAAUAUUUUCAAAGAUUGGUUGGCUUUAAAUAGCCUAGGAAACAUCUGGGCCAUCACUGUAAUUUAUUAGAUUUAAGAUAUGAUGGUUGGCUUAAAAUACACAUAAAAACAUACUCUGCCACAAAUAUAUGAAAAGAGAACCCCCCCACCGUCCCAGAUUAGGUCACAUUUCAACUGGAUUUUAUUUUUUGUCUUAUGUGUUUUGCCUGCAUAUAUGAAUGUGCACCACUUGCAUGCCUGGUACCCUCAAAAGUCAAAGGGGAUCUUGAAUUCUUUGGAUCGGAGUUAUGAAGGGUUGAACCACCAUGUCAGUUCUGGGAACCAAACCAAGGUGCUUGGCGAGAACAACAGGUACUCUUAACCACCGAGUCAUUGCUUCAGCUCUUCUGCUCACUUGAAGCAACAACCAAAGCAAGGAUUUCAGUAGAUUCACAAAGCAACCACUGUCUUCGGAGCUCUUCUACUACUGCCUACCUCCCCCCACUCACAGCCUUCAGAGCUCUUCUACUGCUGUCUACCUCCCCUAAAAGCACACAGUUACCCUAGAAGAGGUUCUCAGCAGCCACUCUUUUCAAGUGAGUCUCAAAUAUCAAAUACUGCAGUUCAAAUCUCAGAAAAAGAAAAGCAUAUCCUGUGAUACUUCUGCCCCACUUUCUCCUACUGGGUUUGCAAUGUAUGAUUAACAAUGCACAUAAACUUGGUUGAAGGAGUCUGUGUUUAGAUAAUAAUUCAAAUCCAUUAAAUAUCUCCUUAUGCUUGAUGUUCCAUCAGUGAAACAUCCAGAGGGUUCCUUUUAUAGAAAUAUGAUUUGAUCUGCAAUGUCCUGGAACAUGUUUUUCCAGCUAUUUGACUUGCAGCUUAUGCUAAUUACCAGGCAUUAUAUCAUGAAUUCUGUGGCACACAGAAACAUUUAAACCUAUCUGCCCCUACAAAAGUUAUUGAGGAUGAAUCACAGGAAUUUCUGUAGUAUUCUCUGCAGAUACUAACUAAAUGUUUGUUUUCUUUUUAACUCUUUGCUGUACUGAAUCCCAUUUUCCUUAUGACUUAUUGCUCCCACAUUACCUACAAUUCUGAAACCUUACACUAUUUAUAGCAUCCCAAUAUGACAUAUAAUACCUUGCAAACAGCAAAGAGAAAGUAGCAUUUUGAGUUCUGCAUACUAUCCUAGAUUAAUUGUUUUAAAUGCA